rnacentral:rRNA from 1 species
GGGCCCGCACAAGCGGAGGAACAUGUGGUUUAAUUCGAUGAUACGCGAGGAACCUUACCCGGGCUUGAAUUGCAGAGCGAUGGACCAGAGACGGUCCAGUCCUUCGGGAGUUCUGUGAAGGUGCUGCAUGGUUGUCGUCAGCUCGUGCCGUGAGGUGUCGGCUUAAGUGCCAUAACGAGCGCAACCCCUGCCGCCAGUUGCCAUCACGUAAAGGUGGGCACUCUGGCGGGACUGCCGCCGCAAGGUGUGAGGAAGGCGGGGAUGACGUCAAAUCAGCACGGCCCUUACGUCCGGGGCGACACACGUGUUACAAUGGCGCGCACAGGAAGCAGGGGCUAUGCGAAUAGUUCCGAAUCAAGAAAGCGCGCCUCAGUUCGGACUGGGGUCUGCAACCCGACCCCACGAAGCUGGAUUCGCUAGUAAUCGCGCAUCAGCCAUGGCGCGGUGAAUACGUUCCCGGGCCUU